AUUGAACGCUGGCGGCAUGCCUUACACAUGCAAGUCGAACGGUAACGGGCCUUCGGGUGCCGACGAGUGGCGAACGGGUGAGUAAUACAUCGGAACGUGCCCGAUCGUGGGGGUAAACGAGGCGAAAGCUUUCCUAAUACCCCAUACGAUCUACGGAUGAAAGCAGGGGACCGCAAGGCCUGGCGCGGCCGGGGCGGCCGAUGGCAGAUUAGGUAGUUGGUGGGAUAAAAGCUUACCAAGCCGACGAUCUGUAGCUGGUCUGAGAGGAUGAUCAGCCACACUGGGACUGAGACACGGCCCAGACUCCUACGGGAGGCAGCAGUGGGGAAUUUUGGACAAUGGGCGCAAGCCUGAUCCAGCCAUGCCGCGUGCAGGAUGAAGGCCUUCGGGUUGUAAACUGCUUUUGUACGGAACGAAAAGCCUUCUUUUAAUACAGGAGGGUCAUGACGGUACCGUAAGAAUAAGCACCGGCUAACUACGUG
rnacentral:rRNA from 1 species